rnacentral:rRNA from 1 species
CAGUAGCCGCGGUAACACGGAGGGUGCAAGCGUUAAUCGGAAUUACUGGGCGUAAAGCGCACGCAGGCGGUUUGAUAAGUCAGAUGUGAAAUCCCUGGGCUUAACCUGGGAACUGCAUUUGAUACUGUCAGGCUAGAGUCUUGUAGAGGGGGGUGGAAUUCCAGGUGUAGCGGUGAAAUGCGUAGAGAUCUGGAGGAAUACCGGUGGCGAAGGCAGCCACCUGGACAAAUACUGACGCUCAGGUGCGAAAGCGUGGGGAGCAAACAGGAUUAGAUACCCCUGUAGUCCCUGUCUCUUAUAC